rnacentral:misc_RNA from 1 species
UGUUUGCGUCUCAAAUCUGGCCACACUGCGCUGAAUACGUAUGAUCAGUGUUGAUAUGUGUGUGACGUUGCCGUCAGUGCAUUUACUGGCAUUUACGGAAUCUAUCGUUGUUUGAUCGAAUGUAAUGAUAUUUAAACGGCGUGAUUAAACGCCUAGAAGAAGAAUGUUUGAUUGGUAUUAAAUCGAUAGUAGACUUGUCAAGGAGGCAGUACUCGAACUGAUCAGUGAGGAAGUGAAAACAAAGUUGUAGGUUACAACCAUGGCACAAUCAACAACAAGCGGAACUUCCUCGCGACGAUAUAUGAGGGAGCACGAGGUGCUGUCUUCAUCACGUUAUGUGGACAAUGAAUGGGAGUCCAAGGAGGCUUUACGACAAAGGGAACUAGAGGAGGCAAGAGCGCGAGCGGCACAAAUGGAAAAAACAAUGCGAUGGUGGUCAGAUUGUACUGCUAAUUGGCGUGAAAAGUGGAGCAAAGUUCGCAAUGAAAGAAAUGCUGCUAGAGACGAGGCAAAAGCUCUCAGAGCAAAAUUAGAAAUUGCAGUUAAAGACGCGAAUACUUUUAAACAUGAAUCUCAAGAUUUGGAACUGCAAAAUGAACAGCUGAAGAAAGAGAUGGAAAAGAUACAUAUGAUACUCUUAAAGCACGCUGGCCAGUUUGAUCAGCAAAUCUUCACUAUGCUAGAAUCAGAUCCGCAAGUAAGAGCUACUUUUGGAUUGGAUGAGCAGUUAGAAUUUUAUAAUAACGUUGAACCGAGUGAUACGUUAAAUUCACAAAGGGACAUGCUGUCUUGUAAAAAUUCGCACAACGCAUCGGAUGUUGCUUCUGGAGGUCACAGUAUCUUGCCAGAAAGGGAUAUUGAAGAGUAUGUCUUGCAAGGUGCUGUGCCCAAACAUGCAGUAGAAUUAUACAAAGAAAGCCCUAGUAAUUCACUUGAUAAAAACAUCGCGAAACUAGUCACGGAUAAUACUGCCAGGAAAGAUGUGUUGGAGAAGCAACAACUGUCAUUAGAUAUGUACAAGGACGAUUGUUUGAAUCAGAAGAUGUCAGCGUUACAACUUCAACUGGACGAGGCAACAAAAGCUAUUUCUGCGGAAAGAGAGGAAAAAAGUUCUUUGCAUCGUACUGUUGAAAAAUUGAAAGCUGAAAUUAAGCAAUUGAGGGAACAAUGCGAGGAAUUGUCUGGAAGCAGAGCUGACGCAAUGAGGGAAUUAUCGGAGUUAAAGGAACGAUUUCAACUUGAGCUCAGUGAAGAGCAUAUAGCGGAUUUGAUAGAUAAUACAAGUAACGGAGAAGGCAUGGAUCGUCGUCUAAGUGAGUUAAGAACCGAACUGGAGAAACUUCAAGCUGAAAAUGCAGCCGAAUGGGGUAAAAGAGAAAGACUAGAGAGUGAGAAAAUUUCCUUGGAACGGGAAAACAAAUUGCUUCGUCUAAAAAUAAACGAGUUGCAAGAGAGAAUAGAAUCGCGGCGAUCACGACCAGUAUCUACAGUUGACGCAGACACGAAGCAGCUGCAGCAAGAGAUUCUAAUUCGCAACAUGGUGUUACUUGAAGUAAAGCAGUAUCAAGCGGCACUGAAGCAAUCUUUGGCAGAAAAAACAACGGAAUUAUCACACGCUAUAAGACGAUCCGAGCAAUACGAGGCAGAGGUAAAGCGAGUGAGAGCAAGAGUCGAUGAGUUGAAGAAAGAGCUGGCCGCCGCUCAGGACGAAGUUGACGCUGCUACGAACAGCGUACGAAAGUUGCAACGGGCUAAUAAAGACCUCAUGGAGCAAUUGGAAUCCGCAAAUGUACAAUUGGAACAUUUUAAAAAUAGCAACAACGAAUCGUGCGUAGCGGAUGGUGAAAUAGAUGGAGCAGGGGAAGAAAAGUUUCAACCUAACAAUUCUGAUGAAUACGCUGAAGUAUACGGUCAGCAACAAGCCUAGUAUUCGUGUCGGUGACGAUGGCAUAUUUGUGUCAGAUAACGAAGAUGCAGAUUGGAUAGAUGAUUGCUUAGUUGGCCUAAAAUACAGAAUUUAACAACGGUUUUUUUUUUUUUUAAAUGGUUGACUCUCCAUUUGGCGCAACACUUCCGCGAAUUGUACGUGUUGAGUGACUGUUGUAAGCUACGUGCCUAUUGCAGUGUCAACGACAAAGAUAUGAACUGCUAGAUAGAGAUCUACUGAACUGUAGAUAGAGGUAACAUUUGAACGCAACCUUCAUGUACUACAAUUAUCUACAUCAAACUGAGAAGAUUAUUGUUAAUUAUACUAAAUUAUAUUAUAUUUCUUAACUAGCGAAGAGGACAAAGAA